GUCAGCAGUGGAUUAUUUUCCUCAUUCUUUUCUCACACAGACACAUUCCAAAGCCAUGAAAUCCUUAUGUGGAUUUUAGGUCCCAACUAUGAUCUUGAGAACCUUUGUUACCAUAUUAACUUGUAGACUACUGAGGGGUUUUUUUUGUUUUCUCUUUUCCUCUCCCCUGGUAUUUUCACCCCUGAAAUACACCUGAGUGAUUGUCUCUGCAUACACAGAGGCACAAUUAUUUCAAUAUCAUAGAAUCAUGGAAGGAUCUGGUGGGAAGAGACUUCUGGAGGGUACAGAGAUCAGAUUUCUACCUGCAGUGAGCCCAAAGCCCAGCUCCUCUCAGCUUCUCCUCGCAUGUCCUGUGCUUGUGCACCCUGAGCUAUCUGGUGGCCCUCUGCCUGUCCCUCUUGUGCCAUGUCCCUGCUGAACUGGGUCCCCACAGCUGUCCCCAGCCUGCUCCAGGCGUGGUAUGACCCGUUCUGCCCAGAGGGGAAGAGUCAAUUCCUUGGAUUUGUAGUCCUGGCCCUCCAGAUGUGGCCUGCAGGGUUUUUGUUGGCCCAGUCCUCCUGUUCUACAGGAUCCCCCUGGAUUCCAGCUCUGACAUUCAGCAGCAAAUUGGCCCUGUUUUGUAGUACUCCAAACUGCCUUAGCUGAGGUGCAGCGUGUUCUGUCUGAAAAUGUCACUGGAAACAGCUCAGUCAGCCUUCACUCUGAUGAAACAAUUGUGCUCUACAACUCCACCUAAUGCAGAGGAAUGUGUGCCAGUGUUAAACCCUUUCCCUGAGGAUUUGCGUGGCUUCAGAACACAGGAAUGCUGAUGUCCUGGCCGUGGCUCAGCUGGCAGUGAUCCAAACAAGAGUUGGCCAGGAGCAAAUCAAAUUAUCAGAGAGAUUAGAAGAAUUUGAUGAAGAUGGACCAGAACAACUGCAGGACAAAGCUUCUGCACAGGAACCUUAAACACAGUGCUUGUAUAACUUGCUAAAGAGUUCAGAUUAAAAGAUUAUGAAACAAA